GGCACCUCUGUCGCAAAGAGCAUGUGCAGACUCUGACAGGCUUUCAGGGAAGCCACUUCCCCCAUGUGCUCUGCUGGUUUCCUCAUUGGUGUUUGGGAAGAGGAGGCUGGGCUCCUCCCGGGGAGUGGGGUGCUAUGACAGAUGAGACUUUCAUGCAAGAAAAUCAAUCCUGCACAUUUGAUGUACUGCUUUAAACUUAAAGACCUCUUUGGAUCCAAAACUGUAAGGAUUCUAUAAACCUGGAGAGUAAUCCUAAGAAAAAUCAUCAGGAGAAAGGAAUUUGUAGAACUAAAACUGCAAACAUCCAGAAUCUUGAUGGUGUGCCAAGCCAAAUGUCAACUGGAACUCAACCAAAAACUAAAGUGCUCUCCGAUAAGAGACCCAAAGAAAGAGCGGGUAAGUCUCCCUGAGAAAAUGUUUUCCUGUUUAUGUAUAAAAGUUGUUUGGAGAGCUUUGCCUCACCCCUAUAAAUUUAAACAUGCCAUAAGUGUCGUUGAAUCAUGGAUGCAAAGCUGAUGGAUACAGUAUGAUGUUAAAUCAGAAUAUGACCUGCAUUUUGAAAACUGGAAACGUUCGUUGGGUUUUCUCUAGUCCUCAUGCAGCCAUGCUGUCGAGUUUAUCUCCAUUUUGUAAGGUUGGUCUUACACAGAAAGAAAUUGCUUUGCAUAACCAGUCUUUAUCUUGAAAUGUAUCUUAUAAGUUAAGCAGGAAUUAAGCAAAAGAUUGCACCUUUACUGACACAUCUGCUUAGAAGGUAAGGCCUCUCGAAAAUAAGGCAUAUAUGAGGGUAGUGAUUUAUUUGUAUAGCUUUUGUAUUUGGAAAUGUUCUGUAUAAAUCUGAAUACUUGACAGCUUUAUUUGUGGAAUUUCUUAUUUUAAUGACUAUGUAAACUAACAGCUAACCACUCUUGAAUCACCACAUCUUACCAACUCUUUAGCAGCUGUUGUUGUACUUUUCAUUUGAACAGUCAUUAUGGAUACGACAUUCCGAAAUCUCCAUAUCAGUCCUCACUUCAUACGGUCAUUUACAUACUUAUACAUAGAAAGGAACCCCUUCAAAGCCCUUUGUGUGAUUCCACUGUGUGUAUUCUUCAUAUCCUGUAGAUAGUGUAUUGCUGGACUUGAAAGCUAACACUUUUCUCUGAGUUUACAUCUUUAAAGCCCGAUUUUGAAGUCUCUUGUCAAAUAAUGCCUCUAAAAGCAAUAGUGUGAUGCUACCCUUAUCUGCAUUGUUGCCAGCAUUAUUUCCAUUUUUAUAUACUCACUUUUCUAUAAUCUGUUGAGAACCAGUUUCAGUUCAUUAUUCAGACACCCAAGAUCUCAGCUUCAUUUGUGCUUAGGAUGAGCAUUGGAUCUCUGGGAUAUAGUCAUCUGCUGUUCUUCCAACUCUUGGGGAGAUUUGCAAGGAGGCCUUUACACUGGGCCUUCUGGCUAGAAUUUUGUCAGGAAAAUGUCUUUAGUGAGUGUGCCGGGCCUAUCAGCUGUCCAACCAAACAACGAGGCAGAAUUUGUUCUAGCCAUUCUGAGAAAUGCUUGUAGCAUCAAAUGUGUAUAAUUUUUGUCCAUUACCACUUUUAUAUUUGGGACUUCACUAUAUAUAACCCUGAACCACCUGGCAGCUAAGUGGGAAAUAAGCACAGACCUCUUUUAAAAUCAUAUGAAUGUGUCCAAAUCGUAAAUUAUGACAUAAGUAGAAUCUCUGUGCUUCGUCUCUCUUGUUGAAAUUCCAACUUGAAUUCAAGGAGUUGACACUGCAUUUACAUCAGCAAAGAAUGUGCUUCACUCCAGAAAUGACCAAAAAAGGGAUGUACACUAAUGAGCAGCUUUUAGACAAACAAAGUAUUUCCCCUGGAGAUUUGAUAACUAGAAUGAUAGGUCUAUUUUCUUCAUUUCAUGAGCACAUUCAACUUAUUAUAGCAAAGGAAUAUUUUUUCACCAUGUAAAAGCUACAGUCAAGAAAGUAAGAAACAACCGUAGUUAACUUCUGGGUGGAAAUGACAAGUACAUUUCUAACAAAUUAAAUCUCUGUGAGGAAGUUCAGCCAUGGAGGCUCUGAAGUGGUAUCAUAGUCCUAGAUCGGACGUGGAGCUUACCUGUGGGUCUUCAGCUAUCGUGCAUGAGAGUUCAGUCUACUACAGCCUGAAUAUGUAGCUGUUUAACCACUCUGUCGUUCAGUGUUUCAUUUUGGCAGGGGAAAAAAAUCGAACAGGCAAGCAGGCCAGAAAAUCUAGAAGAGAGUCAAAUCAAUUCUCACAUAAAUAUUUAUGGAAAGCACUCGGGGAGAAGGAAAUAUUGGUGAAGGAUAUCUGAGAACAAUUUUUCUGAACACGUAAAUCAAAGGAGAAUUAUAGAAGCCUAAUUCCAAUUUCUCUGCAGAUACAAAACAGUCCAUAAGUCUGUGUUUUUUCAUUACAGUCCCGCCUUUUUUAACUUCAUCUUUCAAAUUAAAUUAUUAAUAAUUUAAACUUUUGAUGCUCAUUCCUUCCUGCUGUUUGUAAAUCGUAAAGUCAACUGCCUUCGUUCCUAAUUUGACUUUCCAUCAUUGCUUCUUAAUUGGAGUGUCCAAGAGCUUUGCUCUAUUUUAGCAGAAAUAGAAUAUGGUAGUCAGACUGAAGCGGCCCCUCCAUAUAUAAAGAUGGAAGGUGGAAUGUGACGUAGCAGGAGGAUGUCACCCUGACCCACUAUUGACCCUUGCGAGGUGAUUCCUGGUGAUUCUUUCUUGUGUUUUAAAACUGCCUGAUUCACAUUUUCCUCUGGUCUCAGUCACUGAUCGGGGUAAAUGUGAAACCCAAAGUAAAAGAGAUUCCAGCAGAAAAGCACAGGCACAAUAAGGUGGUUUAAAGGCCAGUCGUUAUUGCUUUCACCACAGAUCAAAAGAGAAUGCCACUCUUUUCUAAGCAGUUUAAGCUGUCCACCGGGACGAAAAGAUCUUAGCCUAGUGAUGAAAGAAACAUCUACUACAGCAACAGUGGAAUAUUUCCUCCCAGUUUAUGCCUAGUAUGCUGUGGUCUUUAUUAGAUAAAAAUUCACAAUAGAAAUGAAUGUUAUAUAUUGUAAUAUAGUUUGCUUAAUGGAAUGAAAAGUUAAUUUAUUUUUGAAGAGUAAAUAUAUACAUAAAUAUACACAUACUAUAAAAUUAACCCAAGUAGUGGUGGUUGACUUAAUUUGUUUUUUAAUUGCUCUUCUCAUUGUAUGUGUUAUCAUUUCUUUAAAUGUGUAAAUAGGAGACUAAAGCCAAAUUACAGUGUUGUUCACUGUCAAGAAUAUUUGAAUCUCACAUUGAUGUAUCAUUCUAUGUGUGCAACAUACUGUUCAUUUAAAGAUUGUAAAAAAAAUUUCUUUGGUUUAGAAAACAAUUUUAAAACCUAAGGAAAAUAAAAUCACAUCUGAAGAAAUCACAUUUUUUUUUUCUCUGAGUAAUUUCAUUAGGGCAAUAGGGACAAUUCUUCUUAGAACAGUUUCAAAAGAGGCUUCAUGGACAUAGCUAUUCAUCCUUCCUCCAAGAGCUAUAAUUACUUCUCGCCUUCUCAGCUUCAUUGUGUUAUGGCGUUUUGUUAGGCACAUUAUCAAGAAUAUGAAGGAUCUGUCAGGAACAGAAUUUCACAAGAGUUAGAAGUAUAGAGUAUGUAGGAAAUCAAAAGUACUAGCCAAAUCCAAUUAUUAUGAAGAAAAUCACGUAAUAUAUGAAGUGUACCUAUUUUUCUGUUUCACUAGAAUUUAAUUGUAGUGACAAAUAUCUGAGCCCAACAGAUUUUUGGUACCCUUUAUCAAUUCCAAUAUGAAAUUAUAACUUCAAUUUAGUUAAUUAAGUAUCUGUUGAACAUUACUAUGUUCCUUGCACUGUGCAAGGCAUUAGCAAUACAAAGAUAAAGUGAGAUAAAAUUAUCCCUCCUUCAAGAAGCUUGACUAAAUUAAAUUCUCUCUCUAGAUUUUUCCGGUGAAACCAGAGCCUUUAAAAAAGUAAAUUUAUAACUAUUUCGUGAAAUUUACAGUAAUUUAGUAAGAUUUUUAAAUUGUGAUUUCCUAUGACUAUACAUACAGACAAUUACCAUUCUGUAGUAAUACAACCACAUGAGGCAAAAAGAAAGCAUCACAGUGUGCCAAGAAGAACCUUAGUUUUAUUUGAUUUUAAUUAGUGGGAAUCUCUAUCUUGAUGCAAGUGCCACAUAAAGCUUAGGAGCUUUAUAAAUCUAGUUAAAAUACAAUCUUUCCCUCCAUAUUUGAGAUGUAUCAGCUUAUUCCCUUGAAAGUUAUUCUGAGUACUUAGUUAUAGCCCUUGCAAGCUGCCAACUUAAAUACAGAUAGGGAAAAGGAGAGUGUUUUCUAUCCACCAUUCCUACCUCUCACAGUGGAAUCCAUGGACUUCUCCUGGGCAAAGUGCCCCAAACAUCUGCUGAAGAGCCUUGAGUAGCAGGGAAGUCAAGGAAGCUGCCCAACUAACAAAUAUGAAAUUUAUGUUUGGCCUUAAGAUUUCAGGUGACUUUUGCAUUGCUGUCCCCUAACUCAGCUUGGCUGUCUCCUUCUCUUAAAGCCUAAAUGCCACCUGUUUUAAAAAUCCUUCUCUGCUCACUCUAGCUAAAGAGGUUGACUCCUUCCCCAACUAGUUUCUAUGGCUGCAAUCUCCGUUUCUUCAGAGCACUUGUCAGAACUUAUAGUUUCCUUCCUUCCUUCCUUCCUUCCUUCCUUCCUUCCUUCCUUCCAUCAUUCCUUCCUUCCCUCCCUCCCUGCCUCCCUCCCUCCCUCCUUCCCUCCUUCCUUCCUUUCUUCCUUUCCAAUAGGCUAGAAGGUCCAUGUCUUGUUCACUAUUUUAUCCCUUGCUUCCAAUAGACUGCUGCCGUACAACAGGUGCUGAAAAACACUUGCUGACUAAAUGAACCCCUAAACAAUACAUUUUAUAUAAUAAAGUUAAGUGCCAC
ensembl:lincRNA